GACAACCAGCAGCCAGUGUCUGCUGCAUCGCGAGAGCUCAGAAGCUCAGUCAAUGCAAAACAGAAGGCACUGAGGGAAAAUUUCAGAUGAGAAUGGACGUACCCUCUCCAGAGGCAAAGAAGUUUGCAAAUUACUUUUUGAAGCCCUCUCUAUAUAAUUUUGAGGUUAAAAAUGCUUUCCUCCUGCGAAGGAGAGAUUUUAAUCUGGAUUGUAUGCUGGAGCUCAAUGAUUGAUCCAAAUCAGAGUCCAGAGGCCUCAUGGGAAUGAUGAUCGUCAGGGCUACAGUGGGGCAACUGCAGAUGGAGCUUGCCCCUCUCCUCCAUAAAUGGGGAAGAGCCUCUCACCUCCAGUGAGGUUUUGUGCAUAAGAAAGGGGAGGCUUGUUAGAGACAGCAGCUUUGAAAACUUAAUUCUCCUUGCCAAGAACUAAUGGACUAUCUUCAAUGUGCAUGAAAAUGUGUCUGCACAGUGACCAGAGAAGCCAAAAUGAGGCCUCUGCAGACCUAAUUUGGCAUCAAUUUAUCUCCAUAUGAGAAAGUCUGGUUGUACUUAUUUUACUCUCUGCUCUAACCAAGAAAAAAACAAAAACCCGGCAAAGGUUCAUUGAGACAACAGUCGGUCACUAAAAAGGAAUUUGAACCAGUCGGUCACAGAAAAGGAAUUUGAACGAAGAUAACGUAGUUACAUUUUACCCACAUGUUCCUGAGGCCAGUGUGCUAAUAGUUAACAAAUGCUAUUUAGCCCAUCACCAUUAGAUUAACAUUUAACCAAAUCAGCAUAGACUUUGUGUGACUAAAAGAAUCUACAAACACACACACACACACACACACACACACACACACAUCUUUUUUUUUUUUUUUUGAGACGGAAUCUCGCUCUGUUGCCCAGGCUGCAGUGCAGUGGCACAAUCUCGGCUCACUGCAACCUCCAUCUCCCAGGUUCAAGUAAUUCUACUGCCUCAGCCUUCUGAGUAGCUGGCAUUAUAGAUGUACGCCACCAUGCCUGGUUAAUUUUUGUAUCUUUAGUAGAGAUGGGGUUUCACCAAGUUGGCCAGGCUGGUCUCAGAACUCCUGACCUCAAGUGAUCUGCCCGCCUAGGCCUCCCAAAGUGCUGGGAUUACAGGCGUGAGCCACCACACCCAGUCACAGAUAUCUUUUGAUAUCUCAAGAACUAUGGACGGAAUUAAAGAAUUCCAAGACCAAUUAAAGAAUUUCAAGUGAGACAAUUCAUUUUCUUAUGAUCUUGGUCCUGUGUUUGGAGAGGCAAAUGUGUGUUUUAGUGAAAUGUAAAUCCAGGGAGAAGGUGCAGUAGAAGAAACUGCUCACCUGUCCUUGUAGCUAUAGCUAACCUUUAUGGAGCUCUAUCAGCUAGGCAGUAUUUACUCAUCAGUUCUGGGAGGUGAAUGCUGUUAUAAUCUCCAUUUUCCAAAUGUGACAACAGAGACACAGAGAAGUUAAGUGACUUGCCCAACAUCAAACAGCUAGUUUUACAGGACCAUGCUCCUUGUAUAAGUUGUUACACAUGGUCCCCCUAGCUUUGUGGCUCACGAUCCUGUGUGCAGAAUGCUAUUGUGGAAAGCAGGGAGAAAAUCAAGCUGCGGUAUACUGGGAGAGAAAGAACAAAGGAAAGCUCUUAAGGCGACAACAAGGACAAUGUCUCCAAGGACAGUGCAAUUUCCCAUCAGUGAGGUACUGGUCAGGCUCCCCAGCCUCAGAGGCCCAUCCAGGGUUUCUUCGCUGCCAGAGUCAUGCUGUUCAACUGCUCGUAGGGGUGCUUCAGCCCUGGAAAGGAGUCCAGGCGGUAGGGCUGCCAGAGACCUGGCUGGUCUAUCCAAAGACAAAGGAGGAUGCCAUUCCUCUGUGAGGUGGGGAGGAGCAGAUGUUUUGCCUCUAGUGAGACAAUAAUUUACUUCCCUAUUAUUGUUUGACUUUGCCUUGUUUCUGCCUAUGAAUUACUAACAGAGGCUUGCAGCACUAUCUAUGGGGCCUGAAACAUACAAUAAGGGGCCAGAAGGCCUUGAGAGAGCUGAAAAAGAAAUCAUCACCCUAGCCUCACCCAGUCACCUGUCUCCAGGCAAAAUAAUUCCCUGUCCUUCAUGAUGAUUCGGAGAAGACCAGCCCCACUCAGCUGCUGUUGCCAACCAACCAUAGUUCUUGUUACCCUGGGCCACAAGUGCCUUAUCCACUAGAUUGAGAAAGUUAAUGCCAGAGGGAAGUGAGAAACUAACUAUGGAAGAGUGGACCCAUGUUGCAAAAACAAAGUUCUAGGGAAAGACGUGAACAAAGAUGGGUGAGUAUGAAUGGGGUCUGACUGGAACAUGGCAGAGAAGAAAUUCAACUAUGCAAUGAGAUAAAGCAAAGAUUCUAAUGAAAGACUGAUGUGGUCAUAAACAAACAAACAAACAAACAAAAAACAGGUGCCCAAUGAAUACUUCUAACUGAAAAAAAAUCUGAAGAUGCUGGUCAGAGGAUCCUCAGGAGGGAAAAAACCUGACUUUCCUUGGUAAGGGCCUGUGGAGCAAGUAAUUGCAGCUUGAACCAUGGGGUCUCCUUGGAGCUGCGGGCACCAAGCAUCAGAUCUGAACACAGAAGCUGGGCCAGUUUGUUAAGUAGGGUGCGGCAGAGACUGUUAGUUGCCUAUCCAAUAUCCAGUCUCCUCUUUUUCCUUGGUCACAUAACCCAGAUUUUAAUCUGGGUGGCAGUGUGCUCAGCUGAAAGACUACACUUGGAAGCCACAUUUGCAGCCUGAGGGCCAGUGAGACAUAAGCAGAAGUUGUUGGGUAGUCUUCUGUGGACUCCUUAAGAGGGAAUAGACUACUCACAGACUCCUUUUUCUCCUUCUCCCUUCCUUCCAUGCCUUUCUGGAACAGGAAGUUUAACAUGAUGAUUGGCGCUCUAGCUGUCACAUUGGACCAUGAAGUUAUGUUGUUUUUUUUUUUAAUUAAUUUUUAGUUUUAUUUCAGUGGUUUUGGGGGUAUAGGUGGUUUUUGAUUCCACG
rnacentral:lncRNA from 10 species